CGGCGCGCCUAACACAUGCAAGUCGAACGAGAGAUGAGGAGCUUGCUCUUCAGAUCGAGUGGCGAACGGGUGAGUAACGCGUGAGGAACCUGCCUCAAAAGAGGGGGGACCAACAGUUGGAAACGACUGCUAAUACCGCAUAAGCCCACGGCUCGGCAUCGAGCAGAGGGAAAAGGAGUGAUCCGCUUUGAGAUGGCCUCGCGUCCGAUUAGCUUGUUGGCGGGGUAACGGCCCACCAAGGCGACGAUCAGUAGGGGUUCUGAGAGGAAGGUCCCCCACAUUGGAACUGAGACACGGUCCAAACUCCUACGGGAGGCAGCAGUGAGGAAUAUUGGUCAAUGGACGAGAGUCUGAACCAGCCAAGUAGCGUGCAGGAUGACGGCCCUAUGGGUUGUAAACUGCUUUUAUAAGGGAAUAAAGUGAGUCUCGUGAGACUUUUUGCAUGUACCUUAUGAAUAAGGACCGGCUAAUUCCGUG
rnacentral:rRNA from 1 species